rnacentral:rRNA from 1 species
UACGGAGGGUGCAAGCGUUGUCCGGAAUCACUGGGCGUAAAGGGCGCGCAGGCGGCUCAUUUUGUCAGGCGUGAAAGCCCCGGGCUUAACCUGGGAACUGCGUUUGAUACGGAUGGGCUAGAGUUCGGGAGAGGAGAGUGGAAUUCCCAGUGUAGAGGUGAAAUUCGUAGAUAUUGGGAAGAACACCGGUGGCGAAGGCGACUUACUGGACACAUAUUGACGCUGAGGUGCGAAAGCGUGGGGAGCAAACAGG